rnacentral:rRNA from 1 species
GAUGAACGCUGGCGGCGUGCCUAAUACAUGCAAGUCGAGCGAACGGACGAGAAGCUUGCUUCUCUGAUGUUAGCGGCGGACGGGUGAGUAACACGUGGAUAACCUACCUAUAAGACUGGGAUAACUUCGGGAAACCGGAGCUAAUACCGGAUGAUAUUUUGAACCGCAUGGUUCAAAAGUGAAAGACGGUCUUGCUGUCACUUAUAGAUGGAUCCGCGCUGCAUUAGCUAGUUGGUAAGGUAACGGCUUACCAAGGCAAAGAUGCAUAGCCGACCUGAGAGGGUGAUCGGCCACACUGGAACUGAGACACGGUCCAGACUCCUACGGGAGGCAGCAGUAGGGAAUCUUCCGCAAUGGGCGAAAGCCUGACGGAGCAACGCCGCGUGAGUGAUGAAGGUCUUCGGAUCGUAAAGCUCUGUUAUUAGGGAAGAACAGAUGUGUAAGUAACUGUGGACAUCUUGACGGUACCUAAUCAGAAAGCCACGGCUAACUACGUG